rnacentral:rRNA from 1 species
GGGGCUACGGGAGGCAGCAGUGGGGAAUAUUGCACAAUGGGGGAAACCCUGAUGCAGCAACGCCGCGUGAGUGAAGAAGUAUUUCGGUAUGUAAAGCUCUAUCAGCAGGGAAGAAGAUGACGGUACCUGAGUAAGAAGCCCCGGCUAACUACGUGCCAGCAGCCGCGGUAAUACGUAGGGGGCGAGCGUUGUCCGGAUUUACUGGGUGUAAAGGGUGCGCAGGCGGCUCUGCAAGUCAGGCGUGAAAGCUAGGGGCUCAACCCCUAAACUGCGCUUGAAACUGUGGAGCUUGAGUGACGGAGAGG